UUGCAGGAACUUCUUUCUUGAUUCUCAAGUUUUUCUUACAAAUUUCUAAGACAACUUCAAGAUUGAGCAUAAGUGGAUAGUACUUGAAAGGAGUCACUCUGUACAGAACGACUACCAUAGCUGGCAUCAGACUCACUAAGCAAAGCAGAAGAAUCUUGAGUUUCUUAGAGAAAGUCAAAUCAAAGAGGAACGGGCACAACCUGGUCAACUAAAUCAGAUGCCAUGUCUGAUGUUGUCCUUUCCUUCUGUCCUGAUGUAUCUACUUCUGGGACUUUCCAGACUUAUUUCAGAUUCCUUCUGGGUAGUACCCAACCACAAACAUCAGUCGUAAGUUAGUAGCCUGAUUAUGCAUUUACUCGUUGGGUAUCAGUGCCAUUAUUCCUUGAAGAGAUACUUCCAUCCUGCCCUUCUUAGGAAGUCCUUUGACACAUUAGGUAAGUACAGAUAUGUCCCGUCAUCACAGCUUUGUGUGACAGAAAGAACCCAGUCAAGUCUCAGUGUAAAUCCCAGCUCCUAGGACUCUGUUUCAUCACCUGUAAAAUGGGGGUGAUAUGUACCACCUUCCAGCCCCUUCUAUUGGUGCAGGAGGCCUUUCCUUCCCAGACAAGGUAGGUCAGAGACUUCCAGAUGGGUCAAAGUCUCAGAGGCAUCUUAAGCAAGUGGUGAAGCUAAGCCAGUGAAUGCAAACACAGCUUGACAAAUACCAGUACUUUCUUUAAACCACAGUAAUACCCCUAAGAAGGUGUUUGCUCCCAUCAUCCCUAAGCAAAGAUAUUCUUUGGCUUCCUACUACAUACCAAAAUUGAGAGAACUUUUCCAUCCAGUAACAGUAACCACACUGUCAAUAUUUUGAAAUCGGUUUUCAUUAUUAAAUUAGAAAAAGAAAAUGCCUGCCUCUGUCUUAAACCACAAGGGGGCAGGGUUGAUGUGGUUUAUAUAUACUUUUAAGUAGAUUGUGCAUACCUGAUUAUAGGGACAGGCAGAUAAAUACUCUUUAUAAAACCUAGUGUAAAUGGACUUGUAAGCCCUCCAAAUUAAGAAUUACUUAACAUGCUAUAAUUUGCAUGUUAAGUGACAGUUUAUAAAGCUCCUUCGUUGGCAUUAUUAGGUCACCAUGAUAUUUCAGAGCCCACCUUAAUUCAGUGCUUAGCAAAUAACCUUUACUGCUAGACUGAAAUUCCAAAAAUAGUGCAGUUAUGUGGAGCAUAUUCCUUGUCCAGCUUGCAGUCAUGCAUUGAUUUUGAUGGAGGAGAAAUUUUACAAGAGGCAGAGGAACACAUUAAAGGUAGAAAUACAGUAGAAAGGCUAAAUGUGCCUCGUGAGGAAAAUCUAGUGGUGAAAUACCAGAAUAGUAAUCAGGAGAAGACCCAAAACAAAGCUUGAUGAUGUGAAAAAGGAGAAGGACCCAAUAAUCUAAAUAAAUGCUAAUAAUGACUUUUUUAACAUCUCAUCACAGAGAAUCAGCCUACUUCAUGAACUGGCUGAGACAUUUGACACAGCCCUGUGAAUUCCCCACUAAUC